rnacentral:rRNA from 1 species
AGUGAACGCUGGCGGUAGGCCUAACACAUGCAAGUCGAACGGCAGCACAGUAAGAGCUUGCUCUUACGGGUGGCGAGUGGCGGACGGGUGAGGAAUACAUCGGAAUCUACUUUUUCGUGGGGGAUAACGUAGGGAAACUUACGCUAAUACCGCAUACGACCUACGGGUGAAAGCAGGGGAUCUUCGGACCUUGCGCGAUUGAAUGAGCGGAUGUCGGAUUAGCUAGUUGGCGGGGUAAAGGCCCACCAAGGCGACGAUCCGUAGCUGGUCUGAGAGGAUGAUCAGCCACACUGGAAAUGAGACACGGUCCAGACUCCUACGGGAGGCAGCAGUGGGGAAUAUUGGACAAUGGGCGCAAGCCUGAUCCAGCCAUACCGCGUGGGUGAAGAAGGCCUUCGGGUUGUAAAGCCCUUUUGUUGGGAAAGAAAAGCAGCAGGUUAAUACCCCGCUGUUCUGACGGUACCCAAAGAAUAAGCACCGGCUAACUUCGUG